GACGAACGCUGGCGGCGUGCUUAACACAUGCAAGUCGAGCGAUGAAGCUCCUUCGGGAGUGGAUUAGCGGCGAACGGGUGAGUAACACGUGGGUAACCUGCCUCAUAGAGGGGAAUAGCCUUUCGAAAGGAAGAUUAAUACCGCAUAAGAUUGUAGCUUCGCAUGAAGCAGCAAUUAAAGGAGUAAUCCGCUAUGAGAUGGACCCGCGUCGCAUUAGCUAGUUGGUGAGGUAACGGCUCACCAAGGCGACGAUGCGUAGCCGACCUGAGAGGGUGCUCGGCCACAUUGGGGCUGGGGCACGGCCCAGACUCCUACGGGAGGCAGCAGUGGGGAAUAUUGCACAAUGGGGGAAACCCUGAUGCAGCAACGCCGCGUGAGUGAUGACGGUCUUCGGAUUGUAAAGCUCUGUCUUCAGGGACGAUAAUGACGGUACCUGAGGAGGAAGCCACGGCUAACUACGUGCCAGCCGCCGCAGUAA
rnacentral:rRNA from 1 species